GAUGAACGCUGGCGGCGUGCCUAAUACAUGCAAGUCGAGCGAACAGAUGAGGAGCUUGCUCCUCUGACGUUAGCGGCGGACGGGUGAGUAACACGUGGAUAACCUACCUAUAAGACUGGGAUAACUUCGGGAAACCGGAGCUAAUACCGGAUAAUAUAUUGAACCGCAUGGUUCAAUAGUGAAAGACGGUUUUCCUGUCACUUAUAGAUGGAUCCGCGCCGCAUUAGCUAGUUGGUAAGGUAACGGCUUACCAAGGCAACGAUGCGUAGCCGACCUGAGAGGGUGAUCGGCCACACUGGAACUGAGACACGGUCCAGACUCCUACGGGAGGCAGCAGUAGGGAAUCUUCCGCAAUGGGCGAAAGCCUGACGGAGCAACGCCGCGUGAGUGAUGAAGGUCUUCGGAUCGUAAAACUCUGUUAUUAGGGAAGAACAAAUGUGUAAGUAACUAUGCACGUCUUGACGGUACCUAAUCAGAAAGCCACGGCUAACUACGUG
rnacentral:rRNA from 1 species